rnacentral:tRNA from 1 species
CAGGGAGACAACAAAAUGUUAAAUAUUAAUUUUGUCACCUUAGGUCGAUCGGUAUCUCACAUUCUUAAUUUAUUUAAGGAUUUUAUUUCCUAAGUUUUUUCUAGGUCACACCCAUCACUUUUCCUGGGCCAUUAGCUCAGGUGGUUAGAGCGCACCCCUGAUAAGGGUGAGGUCCCUGGUUCAAGUCCAGGAUGGCCCAUAUCUCUAUGUUGGGGGUAUAGCUCAGUUGGUAGAGCGCCUGCUUUGCAAGCAGGAUGUCAGCGGUUCGAGUCCGCUUACCUCCACUGUUUACCACCUCUUCCAUAAUUUCAAGAAGGGAAUUGUUUUGAGUUGUGAUCAACUUCUGAAAGAAUCUAGCUUCCUAAUGUAACCAUUAAGAUGCUGGACUCAUUGAAUUAAUUUCAUUGUUUUCAGAGAACCUUGACAACUGCAUAGAUUAUUUUUUUAAAGACAAUAAGCAUCUUUAAUGAUGCAGAUUUAUUAUUUUUGCAAAAGCAUUAAUAACAAUUCUAUUAAGCUGAUGCUUCAAUUUUUGAAGUUAUU